rnacentral:lncRNA from 1 species
UCCCCAUAAAAACCCCAAACAUGUUAGGAGCGCUCAGUUAUGGAAUAAAACACCGAUAACCAAAACUAAGGCGACAAAAGCGGAACAAAUCACCUAGCAAAAGGCGAGGCCUUCUGCCUCUUACCAAUUAUAUAUGUGCAUUAAUUAAAGAGCAUUUAAAGUAAGAUGAUAAUAAUUGCCCAUGUUAUCACAUGGACCAGCUUGCACCUGCAACUAGCAAUUCUAUAACAUGGUUGAGCAAGCACUAACUUAGCUAAAUAAUAUUUGCUAGGAGGUGAUGGGUUAGAGGUUUCAUGGAAAUGUUUGGAGGCUUAUUUGUCAGGUGGUAGGCAGCGAUAAGUAACUAUGGAAGCGGUUCAACUAGGCAUAAUAAAGCUGGAAACGGUGUCAAAGUCAUGAUCAUCUUGCACGUGAAAUCUUCAAACUGGAACUGCUCUUGAUCUUCCUGAACAUACUCAACAGAAUCCUCGAACUUGUUCUCACCACCCGAUGCUACACAAAAGAAUUGAACAACCAAUAAACACCAGCAAAUGACAAUGAUACAAGCAACAUGAUGCAUGUGUGGCAUGAAAGGAAGCAUGGCAUUUGUAUACUAGUCAUCUUUCAUGCAUUACUUGAGUUAUUACUAUUCUUGACAAAACCUCAAGUUAACUUAUUUAGACAUGCAUUAUCAUGGCAGGAAUGGAUGCAUCAGGUGAAAACGGUGCAAAAAGAUAUAAAGAACGCCGUGAACCGAGUUACGUAGCUCUCGGAAACUACAAAACAAGACACGAGGGCUACAGAGACAUAACAGUAAAAUACGAGUAGCUAUGGGCACCCACUUGGCAUUGCAAGGUUGGCAAUUCCAGGUGGAAUAGAUCUAAAGAACACACCAAUCCAUCAAGCAUAGCUCACAUAAAGCCCAAAACAAUAUAGCACACAAUCUGCCCACUAACUGCAUCUUACCACAUUACUCGCAAGCAUUAAAGUAGCUACAACCCACCUUAAGGCAUGAAAUUUAACAUAGUUGUAGAGGAACACAAAUGCAAAUAAUCGCUAGUUCAUUUCUUGGGCUAAAACCCCACAUAAAACUUAAUAGGAACAGAUCAACGGGGCAUGAAAAUACUAGCAGAAUCUCAGACUUGGUGAAAAUCACAGAUUUUCACGUGCUCCCAUUUUGAAUAGAAUAGCAACUUUUGACAAAGAAUAAAACUAUGAUGCAAGUCCUAUGAAUAAUCUUGUGGUCCCAAGUUGUAGAGGGGUUCAAGCACUACAAUUCAUGCCAUUGGUGCAACCACCAAAGAUCAACACAUUCAUGGAAACCAUGCUCACAACAAGGGAAGAAAAUAUUGGUUCCAACGCAGAAAUAUUUCUAGCUACCCAAACAACAUUUUCACCCCUUGAAAACAAAAAAGGAUCCACCUAUUCACAAGAGUAUCAUGCUACAUAAAAAUUCCAAGCCAUAGUAAACAUAAAAAGCUAGAACUUUCAUGUUGGCACAAACUUCAUAGCAUGCAUAUAAUUAAUCCUAAAAAAAUGACAAAAUGCCACCUCAUCGCAAAAUGACAUUUUUGUAAACUUGCACAGAUGUGAAAUCCAAUGUCACCGUUGGAUUCCUUGAGAUUUUCUACCCCAUUUUCAUAUAUCACACUCAUAUACUUGCAUGUAUAAAACUACACAAAAACAAAAAAGAAAAACCACUACAAAUCAUAAUCACUUGUAUGUAACAUCAGACCAAAUUUCGUAUAUGCCAGAUUUGGCAUAUUCCAUUUAUGGAAUUAUCCCACAAUAGAAUUAACACACCACACAAAAUUAAAUCACCACAGUAAUUAAUUUGACAAGGGGUUCCCACUAGUCAUAGACACCAGGGGCCCGUAGUGCAUGACACGUGGGCCUUGUGGCCCACUUGUCAGUGGCACAACUACAGAACAAAACAGGGAAGAAAAUAUUGGUUCCAACGCAGAAAUAUUUCUAGCUACCCAAACAACAACAUUUUCAUCCCUUGAAAACAAAAAAGGAUCCACCUAUUCACAAGAGUAUCAUGCUACAUAAAAAUUCCAGGCCAUAGUAAACAUAAAAAGCUAGAACUUUCAUGUUGGCACAAACUUCAUAGCAUGCAUAUAAUUAAUCCUAAAAAAAUGAAAAAAUAGCCACCUCAUCACAAAAUGACAUUCUUUGUAAACUUGCACAGAUGUGAAAUCCAAUGUCACCGUUGGAUUCCUUGAGAUUUUCUUACCCCAUUUUCAUAUAUCACACUCAUAUACUUGCAUGUGUAAAACUACACAAAAACAGAAAAGAAAAACCACUACAAAUCAUAACUCACUUGUAUGUCACAUCAGACCAAAUUUGGUAUAUGCCAGAUUUGGCAUAUUCCAUUUAUGGAAUUAUCCCACAAUAGAAUUAACACACCACACAAAAUUAAAUCACCACAGUAAUUAAUUUGACAAGGGGUUCCCACUAGUCAUAGACACCAGGGGCCCGUAGUGCAUGACUCGUGGGCCUUGUGGCCCACUUGUCAGUGGCACAACUACAGAACACAAUAGAGAAAUAAAAGGGGAGUGUCGAGCCCACCACCUCCUGCUCUAACCAUAGUGCCCCCACCAUUGGGCUACACUAAUGUAGCUGCACUAACAGGGGGACGCGCCUUGCCUGCGGCUGCUGCGUGCGCCCAUCCGUGCGACCCAGCCAUCGCACGACUGUGGCUCCAUGCACGCCACGCUCCAGAAUUCCUGCGAAAAAAUAAAACAAAAUACACAUCCUAAUACAGAUUUUUUUCCGUAAUAUUCUCAUCAUUAAAACAAAAAGCAAAACUGGAGGGAACAAUCCAAUCUCCCGCCUUCUUGCGAAUAGAUCCACAACAUAUACAAAAGCGCGCCAAAAUGCAAAUCUGUAGUCUAUAGUUCAUAGGAGGCAGGAGCGACCUACGGUCUUACUACAAUCAAUAGCGGCCUUUCUUGAAUUGAGCAGCAAAGUAAUCCACGUCCCUAAUGGCAUCUCCAAGUCUUGCGUCCCCCAUGGCUUCUCCAAGGAGUGGUCCGAGGAACCAGGAGGGUGACGAUCAAUCUCACACACCGAAAGUAAGAAACCUGACUCAGUUCUUGACGGUGAAUCUUUCAAUUAACUGCGUCAUGAUCUCGAGUGUUGGACGGGAAAAAGCAGCAUGAUGCACCCUUGUACAGCUUCUACAAAAACCGAUCAUAACCUGCAGAUGCCAAACAUCGUGGAUCAUAAGAUUGCAGUCUCUCUCCCCCUCCCCUCCCCUCCAAGCAUCAAAUCCAUGGCGCUGACGCUCCGGUCGACGACGUCCUUCCUCUCGCUCCCUCGACCCCUCCUCCAAGCUCCUCCACAAGCCUGACGCGCCGCCCUGUCGUGUGACCGGUUGAGGCGCCGGUCAUGGCCAAGCAGUUGCACAGCCAGGUCCGGCAAGCGCAGGCGGGCCACAGCCACAAGCCCGACGAGCCACCCUGUCGUGUGGCCGGUUGAGACGCCGGUCAUGGCCAAGCUGCUGCACAACCAGGUCCGGCAAGCGCAGGCGGGCCGCUGCCAGCCAAGCCAUGCUCCACGCUUGUGAGCGGCGACGUACGUCUGGCCUGCUGCAUGAAUGGGCGGCCGGAGGGGCGAUGGAGAUUGAGCUUCACCUCGAGCUUCAGUUCAAACAGAAGGGGAAAGAUGUGGAUAGGAGUGUAUUAUGGAAAAGAAUCUGUAUUAGGAUGUGUAUUUUAUUUUAUUUUUUCGCAGGCGCGUGCGUGAGUCACAGCCGUGCGAUGUCUGGGUCGCACGUAGCAGCCUAACAGGGGAAGCAAGUCCACGUAUACUGACUAUCUUGCCAAGUGCACACAGGGGAAAAUCCCUAAAAUAUAAAAGGAGCGCCAGGGCUCAAACCCUUGACCCACUCCACUGCGGUGGUUCUGUUGCCAGUGCGGUAGGCUGCGGGUGAUUGCUAUAACAGAGGAACAAAAGCACUUAUAUAUACUCAGCUAGCUGAAUCACAGAAUGGAAAAACAACGAAUAAAAGUGGGCGCUGGGAGUUGAACCCAAGACCUCACGGUUUGCGCGCAGAGAACAAACGAGCUGGGCUACUGGGUGGAUCUACCAAAGGAGGGGAUCCACACUAGCUGAAGUGAACAAAGGGGUUCAUGCUCUGUUUUACAGAGAGACGCCGGUGACGACUCUCACCGAAGCUACGCAGGCACACAGACGCGGGCAGCUACGCGGGGAACUGCUACGCUGAACUACGCUCUACGAGCUACAGAUCAGAGAGAAACACGAGCCAUGCAUGCACACAUGCACUACGCGUGCAACUGCGCUCUGCAUCGUCGGAGAAACUACGACAAGCUGCAGCUACGCGGGGCGGCGAGGCUAGCAGGGAGAGAGGUCAAGGGGAGCGGGGCGUUGCUCACCCAGGGGCGGAGAAGAGGGGUUCUGGGGAUGGCGAGGAACAGCGGCGACGCUCUCCUGUAGAAGAUGCUCGCCGGAGGAGGCCGAAGUAGUGGACGUCGGCGACAUUGUGGUAGAAGACCUUGGCGUCCGAUCUCUUCGGGAAUGGAUCUCCCUUAGCGUCUGCAUGCUCCUCGUGCAGUGGGGGAAGAAGAGGGGCGACGCUACACCGGCGAUGAGCUGGAGCUGGAGCAGGAGCUGUCCAUGGUGACGGCGAUGCUCGGGAGCUCACCCCGACGGCGAUAGGGGGAGAGGAGGAUGGCAUCGGUGCGACUAGGGCUAGAGAAGAGCUGGGGCGGCUUUAUAGGCUCGAUCCACGCACUUGGAGCCGUCG